ACGAAGGGGGCUAGCGUUGUUCGGAAUUAUUGGGCGUAAAGGGCGCGUAGGCGGCUUGAUAAGUCAAAGGUGAAAUCCCUCGGCUCAACUGAGGAACUGCCUUUGAAACUGUCUGGCUUGAGGCCGGGAGGGGGUAGCGGAAUUCCCAGUGUAGCGGUGAAAUGCGUAGAUACUGGGAGGAACACCGGUGGCGGAGGCGGCAUCCUGGACCGAUAUUGACGCUGAUGCGCGAAAGCCAGGGGAGCAAACGGGA
rnacentral:rRNA from 1 species